rnacentral:rRNA from 1 species
AUUGAACGCUGGCGGCAGGCCUAACACAUGCAAGUCGGGCGAGCGGCAGACGGGGGAGACAUGUGUGGGGAUGUGCCUGGUGGAGGGGGAUAACUACGGAAAAGGGUAGAAAAGAGCGCAUACCAAGAUGUGAACCCAUAUGGGAUUAGCUUGUAGGGAAGGUAACGGCUUACCUAGGCGACGAUCCCUAGGUGGUCUGAGAGGAUGAGCAGCCACACUGGGACUGAGACACGGCCCAGACGCCUACGGGAGGCAGCAGUGGGGAAUAUUGCACAAUGGGCGCAAGCCUGAUGCAGCCAUGCCGCGUGUAUGAAGAAGGCCUUCGGGUUGUAAAGUACUUUCAGUCGGGAGGCGUUACCGACAGAAGAAGCACCGGCUAACUCCGUGCCAGCAGCCGCGGUAAUAC